rfam:Schistosoma mansoni strain Puerto Rico chromosome 4, complete genome
AUCCAGAUGACGAGUCCCAAAUAGGAUGAAAUGUGCGUCCUGGAU